CAAACCUGCCUUAAGGAUGGGGAUAACAGACGGAAACGACUGCUAAUACCGAAUACGUUCUAAGCAUCGCAUGGUGCAUAGAAGAAAGGGUGGCCUCUACAAGAAAGCUAUCGCCUUAAGAGGGGUUUGCGACUGAUUAGGUAGUUGGUGAGGUGACGGCUCACCAAGCCGACGAUCAGUAGCCGGUCUGAGAGGAUGAACGGCCACACUGGAACUGAGACACGGUCCAG
rnacentral:rRNA from 1 species